CCUUUUUCGCGAUUCCUUAUUCUCCUUACGACACAGCAUCUUUUUCUUCCUCGCAUACCCGAACGCAUCAGAUUCAUCAUCUACCUUCAAUUUUUUAGGUAACAAUGGAGUCGUCGGAUCAAGAAAAUCCAAAAGGAUGUCUAGCAGCAGCGUCCACACCACUCUUGACUUCAGUCACCCUUUGUAUCUCCAUCCUUCUGAGACACAGGUGACUUCGCUUAUGAUUCAGCCUCUAAUCGGAGCUACAAAUUACGCAAUAUGGAGCCGUGCCAUCAAGAUGGCUCUUCGGGCAAGAAACAAGAUAGGUAUUGUUGAUGGGUCCUGCAGACGAGAAGCCCAAGAUCCGAGUCUUCAUGGACAAUGGGAUCGCUGCAACGCUGUAAUACUCUCAUGGCUGAUUAAUUCUGUCUCAAAGGAGAUUUUAGCCAGCAUCACCUUCUCAGAGAGCGCAAAUCUCGUACGGGAAGACCUUAAAGAAUGCUUUAGCAUCACCGAUGGAUCUAAAAUUUAUAGUCUACAUUGUCUAAUCAAUUCACUCACUCAGGAAUCAAUAACAGUGUCGAGCUAUUUUACACGAUUGAAGGAAUUAUGGGAGGAAUACUCUGCGGUUGUACCUUUGCCCAGCAGUAAGUGCGAUUCCUCUCUUGAAUAUGCAAGAACCGUAUAACAAUAGAGGUUGUUUCAAUUCCUUAUGGGACUUAAUUCAUCCUAUCAACAUGUUCGGAGUCAAAUCUUACUAAUGAGCCCUCUCCCAACAGUAAAUCAAGCUUACUUAUUGGUUUGUCAAGAAGAAAUGCAACGCAACUUGACUCAACCUCCUCACAACCUAAGCAAUGAAGGUUCUGCCAUGACUGCUAGAGGAUAUGGUAGAUACAGUAGAGGAUGAGGGUGAACAAACUCAUCUGAGGAAUGCACGUACUGUCAUCGUCGAGGCCACAAAAGGAACAAUUGCUACCAAUUAGUGGGAUUCCCAUUAAGUUUUGGCCGAGGAAGAGGCACCCAAGAUCGACAAAUCAACCACACAAAUGCCCCUAUUAAUCCAACUUCAAUUCAACCACAAGAAAGUCAGCUUCUUUCCCAACAAGACUAUGAUAGCAUUCUCAAGAUGUUACGCAAAGACAUUAAGCCUGCUCCUUCUGUUGGUGCUAUAACCACAAAUGACUCGAAAGACUCGUCAGGUGUUAAGUCAAUACAUGAGUAGUCCCAGAAAGUCGCAUAUGAAGGCAGCAAUAAAUGCAAUUAAAUACCUAAAGAAAGAUUCUGGUAGAGGCAUAUUCUUUCCUUCAAGUGGAGGGACGGUGCUUGAAGGAUAUUAAGAUUCUGAUUAGGGGGCUUGUGUAGACACUCGAAGAUCUGUUACAGGGUAUAUCAUUAAGAUGGGAGGAGCACCAGUUGUAUGGAAGUCAAAGAAACAAACAACAGUUUCACGUUCCUCAGCAGAAGCUGAAUAUAGGGCUUUAGGAAGUACUGUUUCAGAGAUUACAUGGCUAGUUGGUUUGCUGAAGGACCUAAAGGUUGAGAGUCCUUUCCUUGUUCUAGUGCAUUGUGAUAGCAAAGCAGCAAUUCAGAUUGCUUCGAAUCCAGUGUUUCAUGAACGGACGAAGCAUAUUGAAAUUGAUUGCCAUUUUGUUCGUGAAAAGCUUUAGGAAUGAGUGAUCAGUUUACGCCAUGUGCCUUCUUCAGAUCAACAGGCAGAUAUUUUUACUAAAGCUUUAAGUAAAUCGGGUCAUGAGAGAAUGUUAGACGAGUUAGGAACCAUAAAUAUUUUUAGUUCUAACUUGAGGGGGAGUGUAGAGAAAUAGAAAAAAAAAAUUGUUUUUCUAUUGAUAUUAGUUAUGUAUCAAUAAGCUGAUAUGGAUUAGUUAAUCUGGUAGUUAGUUAGUUUCAUUCUUGCAUUCUUGGCUAAUUAUCCUGAGCUAUAAAAGCUUCUGCCCCCUUUUGUAUCAGCGUGCAUUGAUGUAAAACCCAUUGGGUCAAGCAAAAGUGUAUUAUCCAAUAAAACAUUUUUUUCUUCAAA